UACGAAGGGGGCUAGCGUUGCUCGGAAUCACUGGGCGUAAAGGGUGCGUAGGCGGGUCUUUAAGUCUGAGGUGAAAUCCUGGAGCUCAACUCCAGAACUGCCUUUGAUACUGAGGAUCUUGAGUCCGGGAGAGGUGAGUGGAACUGCGAGUGUAGAGGUGAAAUUCGUAGAUAUUCGCAAGAACACCAGUGGCGAAGGCGGCUCACUGGCCCGGUACUGACGCUGAGGUGCGAAAGCGUGGGGAGCAAACAGG
rnacentral:rRNA from 1 species